UAGCAUAGAACAAACCAGCCUUCUAUUAGUACAUGAAUAUGAAUACAAGGUCUCCGAUAUUACAAUGAAUAACAUCGGUACGGCGACACUACGCCAUCGUCAGUCGCUCUAUGCAAGGAGCAGAAUAACUCGAAGCAGCGGAAUAACUCUAGCAGCGGAACAACGGCGACGGUGGUGAACUCCACUCCGCAGGGACUCUGGCUGGAACGCUGAUCCUAGCUCGCACGAACGGAAACCACGACAAGCAAGCAAUCAAAUCCGGCAUGACCUGCAAACUGGCAUGACACGCCAGGUCAGUACAUUGAAUGUACUUGCAAGCUCACAAUAAACCAGAAGCAUUCAAGACAAACAACAGCAUGGCAAUUACAGGUUAAACAGUAAUUAACAUGAUAUCAUCAGAAUAACAUCGCAUGACCAUCAUAAACAUGAUACAUCUAUCACAACAUGAUACAUCUAUCACAACAUGAACAUAUUAAUCCGACAAUACUAGCAUGCAACAUGAAACCACUGUAUGCACCACUUAUCCUGCUCGGGCUACCUCGUAAUCAACUCAUGCAUCACUUACCAACCUCGGACAUUACACGAUCAUCUCAGGAUCAAAUCAAGCUUGGUAUAAACAAUACCAUAGCGAUUAGUAAAUGAACACAAGGAGCUUGAUCUUUACCCACGACUCUCGUACAACAUAAUGAAUAUACAACAACUCGGUAUCCUCGAUACCACUGUGAUCCUUACGGCGAUCACCACCCGACCAACACUUGGCCCGUGAUCCUUACGGCGAUCACAACCCGACCACUACAUGGCCCAUGACCCUUACGGCGUUCACAACCCAACCAACACUUGGCCAACUUAUCUCAUUGUUAUUAAGCACAUUAUUAUUAUUUCUUUUGACUCAUGGUGUGACCUUCUCUCGACCUGGGCCCUUAUCCGUGGGCGCGGCUAUCGAUAGAUUAAUAUACACUCCGCAGAGGUUAGUACACUGUACCCUCACUACGGAACCCAUGGCCUCGGCCUCCCAUUCGGGUGGACCAACGGCGUUCCAAAAAAACCGAUCUAUUGUCAUGACACUCUCCCGGCCCUUCCGACUCAGACCCCACCGGGCUAGUCCUGGGUGGCCCCGUGUCUACCUCCAGACACCUCGACCACCGUUGUGGCCACGAUCCACACUGGGAUCCGAUACCAAAAUUAACUUAACAACGGGCUCACAAGGUUACGCUCCGCCUACCCGAUCAGGGUAGCACGCGCCCAAAACCUUCCCUAAAUUGAGGUAUCGACCAGAGGCACGACAAUAGACCCAGUUAGGACAGUCCCAUACCGGUGAGCGUGGUUGCACCGGUCAGCAUCGAUUUAGCGGCACCAUGACUCAGCCAACAGGUGUUCAAGUUCAAUUUAAUCCGGUUAACUUGAAUGCAAAUAUGCUGAGCCAUGAUAAAAUACAUGAACAUGAUAACAACAUCACCAUGAGAGUAUCACAUAACUUUCCACCAUAUCAACAAUAAAUCAUAUCCAGUGAGCAUCGCAUAUUGACUAGCAUGACCAUCCCCAACAUCAACAUGUACUACUAACCAACAUACUCAUACGAAAGGUAAUACUAGUAGGUAUAACAUGAUCACAGAGUAUAAGACAACAUAGCACAACAGUGAACAUGCAAAUCUGAACAUCACCAGAACAACGAUAACCAUCUUUUCAAUGAGCAAACAUUUAAUAAAUAUUCAAGUUGAAAACCAUGGCUAAUGCAUGACUAUCAUGCAAGUGGGUAUUGUGGCUUGCCUGGGGAUGAAGAAGACACCGGGGAGAAGUGCGGUGAAGCCGCGGAAAGAUUUGCCGGAAACGUUCUCUCUCGGAGGGGGCUGAUUAAGGGCAGGGAAAAAAUGGUCAUUUUCACAGUGUCAAACCAUAAGCAUGACCAACCGAACGGGCUCGAUGAAACGAAGAAGUGGGCGUUGGUUUCACCUCAUUUGGAGCUACGGAUAAAAAGAUAUAAGGGUUUGAAGUUCAGUGACUUUUCUGCAAAAAUAACAUCACAACCAUGUCCCUGAGUGGAUAAGACAGAAGCGGGUUUUCAGGAAUACGUUUUCGAUCAGUGAAAACGCCCUCACCAAAAGACGCUUCCACUUGCCAUGUCAACGUCGUCAAGUCAACGGCGGGGCCGGCUCCUGGGACGUUGACAGGCGGUUCCCGCGCGCAGGGGGGGUCCAGGCGCGCUCGUCUUCUUCCUCCUCUCCCUGCCCCCGACCGAAGCAGAGGCAGGGGCGCUGCCGGCGCAGGCCCCGGCGACUCCGGCCACCUCCGGCCAAACGGAGGCCACUAGCGAGCUCGGCGUGGACUGCCGCAUCCAUCCCCGCACAGAGGAGACGCCGGAGAGGAGCGGGGUAGCCACGACGAGGAAGGGACAGAACCGGCUCCGGCGUCCGCGAUCUUCGGGGACGACGGCCACAGCGGCUCCGGCGAUGGGCUGAGAUGGCAGGGAGGGUCUACGAGGACUGGGUGGAGCUCUGGUGGUGGUAGAAUGGAGAGGGGGGCUCGGCUUCGGCCGAAUUUAGACCGGAGGGGGCGGCGGCCAUGGCAGCAAUGGCGAGCAGGGAGGGCUCCAAAGGCUCGGGGAAAGG
rnacentral:lncRNA from 1 species